UCUGAUCUCCUGCCCUGAACACGCCCAAUCUUGUCCGAUCUCAGAAGCUAAGCAGGGUCAGGCCUGGUCAGUACCCAGAUGGGAGAAGCUGUAGUCAAGGCAGAA
rnacentral:rRNA from 1 species